rnacentral:rRNA from 1 species
GUGUCAGCAGCCGCGGUAAUACGUAGGGGGGUUUGCUCGAGAGGAUUUAUUGGGCGUAAAGAGCGUGUAGGCGGCUUGACAGGUCUGCUGUGAAAACUCGAGGCUCAACCUCGAGAUGUCGGCGGAAACCGUCUGGCUAGAGUCCGGAAGAGGAGAGUGGAAUUCCUGGUGUAGCGGUGAAAUGCGCAGAUAUCAGGAAGAACACCUAUGGCGAAGGCAGCUCUCUGGGACGGUACUGACGCUGAGACGCGAAAGCGUGGGGAGCGAACAGGAUUAGAUACCCUGGUAGUCCACGCCGUAAACGAUGGGUGCUAGGUGUGGGGGGUGUCGACUCCCUCCGUGCCGAAGCUAACGCAUUAAGCACCCCGCCUGGGGAGUACGGCCGCAAGGCUAAA